rnacentral:misc_RNA from 1 species
GAUGAAGAACGUAGUGAAAUGCGAUAAGUAAUGUGAAUUGCAGAAUUCAGUGAAUCAUCGAAUCUUUGAACGCACAUUGCGCCCACUGGUAUUCCGGUGGGCAUGCCUGUUCGAGCGUCAUUAUCCUCCCUCAAACCCCGGGUUUGGUGUUGGACCCAAGUUGUGUGAACAACUGGUCUCAAAGACAAUGACGGCGUCCGUGGGACCCUCGGUGCAACGAGCUUUUAGGAGCACGCAUCGAGUUGCAAGGACCUUCCGGGCCGGUCUCCUUUACCAUUUUACAAGGUUGACCUCGGAUCAGGUAGGAAUACCCGCUGAACUUAAGCAUAUCAAUAAGCGGAGGA